GACGAACGCUGGCGGCGUGCCUAACACAUGCAAGUCGAGCGGUAAGGCCCUUUCGGGGGUACACGAGCGGCGAACGGGUGAGUAACACGUGGGUGACCUGCCCUCAGCUCUGGGAUAAGCCUGGGAAACCGGGUCUAAUACUGGAUAUGACUCCAUGACGCAUGUUGUGGGGUGGAAAGCCUUGUGCGGCUGAGGAUGGGCCCGCGGCCUAUCAGCUUGUUGGUGGGGUGAGGCCUACCAAGGCGACGACGGGUAGCCGGCCUGAGAGGGCGACCGGCACACUGGGACUGAGACACGGCCCAGACUCCUACGGGAGGCAGCAGUGGGGAAUCUUGCGCAAUGGGCGAAAGCCUGACGCAGCGACGCCGCGUGAGGGAUGACGGCCUGGUUGUAA
rnacentral:rRNA from 1 species